rnacentral:rRNA from 1 species
CCAAAGCGACGAUCAGUAGCCGGCCUGAGAGGGUGGACGGCCACAUUGGGACUGAGACACGGCCCAAACUCCUACGGGAGGCAGCAGUGGGGAAUAUUGCACAAUGGGGGAAACCCUGAUGCAGCGACGCCGCGUGAGCGAUGAAGGCCUUCGGGUCGUAAAGCUCUGUCCUCAAGGAAGAAAAUGACGGUACCUGACUAAGAAGCCCCGGCUAACUAC